rnacentral:rRNA from 1 species
GGACGAACGCUGGCGGCGUGCUUAACACAUGCAAGUCGAACGAUGAUCCUGGAGCUUGCUCUGGGGGAUUAGUGGCGAACGGGUGAGUAACACGUGAGUAACCUGCCCUUGACUCUGGGAUAACCUCCGGAAACGGAAGCUAAUACCGGAUAUGACGCACGGAGGCAUCUCCUGUGCGUGGAAAGAAUUUCGGUCAAGGAUGGACUCGCGGCCUAUCAGGUAGUUGGUGAGGUAACGGCUCACCAAGCCUACGACGGGUAGCCGGCCUGAGAGGGUGACCGGCCACACUGGGACUGAGACACGGCCCAGACUCCUACGGGAGGCAGCAGUGGGGAAUAUUGCACAAUGGGCGAAAGCCUGAUGCAGCAACGCCGCGUGAGGGACGACGGCCUUCGGGUUGUAAACCUCUUUUAGUAGGGAAGAAGCGAAAGUGACGGUACCUGCAGAAAAAGCACCGGCUAAAUAC